rnacentral:lncRNA from 1 species
CUCACAGCAGAGAGGAGACCCCAGCAAGUUGGCGGACAUCCAGGAUGCUUUGCUGUUUGCCCCUUCCCAGGAGUCGGGGACUCGGGAGAGCUCACUGGCCGGGUGUGUGGGAACACAGUCAGUGCUGCCUCAGGCAUUGCCCAAGAGGCCUCUGGCCCUUUGCUUGAAUAAAUGGAAAGAGCUUCCCAGUCGAUGUGGCCAGUGAGGAGGGCACCCCAUUCACCGCCACAAGGGAGGCAUCGAAUCACCCCACCCCUGCCCGUGAGGCCCAGUGCAGGCUUCAGGUGAGCGUGCCCAUGUAGGGAUCAGCCCAACCGGGAAUGAAGAGGAAAUGGGGAAGGUCUGAUCCACACGCACCACCCAGGAAACACACCGGGGCCCAGUCUCAGGCUGCCAUGGAACUCAGCACAUCCAGCUCUGACCAUGAUCCCCGAGAAGCCCUGCCUCUGAGGCAGCAGGAGGACCUGGAGCCCAGCACGGCAAAGCACAGAGCUCUAGCACUGGCCUCUCAUUACAGCCAGACUCCACUUCCAAGUCCUGUCCAUACAGCAGUGGGUGCUACAGGUGCAGGACACAGGGAUCCACGGAGGGGAGAUCAAAACCUGAGACUUCCCUUCCCGAAGACACCGGGCAAGCUAGGUACUGGCCAGCAAACUGGGCAUAUCGGACCUCUGUGCCUGUAGGACCCCCAGCCACAGGCACUGAUGUCCCACCCCCUCAGCGAGAGCAUUCACCUCCACCUGCACCAGUACCUGCUCUGGCUUUGGCAGGAGAACCUGAGUCAGGGGAUGAGUCACCACCUCUGCUGGGAGGUCAUGUCCUGGCUCCUGCCCAAGACCCAGAUGCCCACAAUGACUGACCCAUCCCUGCAAGGAUAAUGGGCCCCCACUCUGGACAGAGACCCAGAGAUCUUUCGGGAAACACCUCGCCCAUGGGAGGGGUUGGCUCUGCAGCCUCCAUCCCUACCUGCUUCCUGUGGAUGCCAUCAACUCAUGCCCCACCCAGGCAGAUUGCGUGCCCUUCCCCUGAGCUUAUUUGCAUCUGGUGUGUGUGUAGC